rnacentral:rRNA from 1 species
CCUACGGGUGGCAGCAGUGAGGAAUAUUGGUCAAUGGGCGCGAGCCUGAACCAGCCAAGUAGCGUGAAGGAUGACUGCCCUACGGGUUGUAAACUUCUUUUAUAAAGGAAUAAAGUGAGGCACGUGUGCCUUUUUGUAUGUAUUUUAUGAAUAAGGAUCGGCUAACUCCGUGCCAGCAGGCGCGGUAAUACGGAGGAUCCGUGCGUUAUCCGGAUUUAUUGGGUUUAAAGGGAGCGUAGGUGGGUUGUUAAGUCAGUUGUGAAAGUUUGCGGCUCAACCGUAAAAUUGCAAUUGAUACUGGCAGUCUUGAGUGCAGUUGAGGUAGGCGGAAUUCGUGGUGUAGCGGUGAAAUGCUUAGAUAGCACGAAGAACUCCGAUUGCGAAGGCAGCCUACUAAACUGCCACUGACGUUGAUGCUCGAAAGUGUGGGUAUCAAACAGGAUUAGAUACCCUAGUAGUC